rnacentral:rRNA from 1 species
UUAAAGGAAUUGACGGGGGCCCGCACAAGCGGUGGAGCAUGUGGUUUAAUUCGAUGCAACGCGAAGAACCUUACCUGGUCUUGACAUAGUAAGAACUUUCCAGAGAUGGAUUGGUGCCUUCGGGAACUUACAUACAGGUGCUGCAUGGCUGUCGUCAGCUCGUGUCGUGAGGUGUUGGGUUAAGUCCCGCAACGAGCGCAACCCUUUUCCUUAUUUGCCAGCGGGUUAAGCCGGGAACUUUAAGGAUACUGCCAGUGACAAACUGGAGGAAGGCGGGGACGACGUCAAGUCAUCAUGGCCCUUACGACCAGGGCUACACACGUGCUACAAUGGUCGGUACAAAGGGUUGCUACCUAGCGAUAGGAUGCUAAUCUCAAAAAGCCGAUCGUAGUCCGGAUUGGAGUCUGCAACUCGACUCCAUGAAGUCGGAAUCGCUAGUAAUCGCGGAUCAGAAUGCCGCGGUGAAUACGUUCCCGGGCCUU